ACUGUGAUGGUCGAGUGGUUAAGGCGUUGGACUUGGAAUCCAAUGCUGUCACCCAGCGCAGGUUCGAACCCUGCUCACGCCG